rnacentral:lncRNA from 1 species
GGCGAAAGCCCCACCAUCCAUCCGCUCUGCCUCCAUCUCCCUCAUUCUGAAUGGACGCUUCCUUCCUUGGUGUAACUCUCCCAGCCAGGUGGAGGGCUGAAAGCAGAAGUUAAGUGUGAAGAAGGGGAGCACAUCUCUACACUGCUGAGAGCAAGAAAUAAAAUUUUCCCAAUUACAGGUUUCCACUGUAAUUUUCCUCUUUGAAGAAUAAUAAAACACUACACCCA